UUCAUCAUCAUUGUUAUCAUCAUCUUCAUCUUCAUCAUCAUCGUCUUCAUCAUCGUCAUCAUCGUCAUCGUCGUCAUCGUCUUCAUCAACCACCGGAAGGAGAAGUUCCACUGCGGCUUCGGCCUCACCAUCGGAUAGACCUUCAUCAUCAUCAUCGUCAUCAUCUUCAUCAUCGUCAUCUUCAUCAACUGACCUUCAUCAUCAUCGUCAUCGUCAUUGUUAUCAUCAUCUUCAUCGUCAUCUUCAACUGACCUUCUUCAUCAUCAUCAUCAUCAGCUGAUCUUCAUCAUCAU
rnacentral:lncRNA from 12 species